AGGGGAGCCCCGAGAAGGCAGGGUCCCGCUCAGAGCCAGCCGGAAGGUUCUCUGAGCAGAGCUGUUGAGAUAGAGUCCUUUGUUUCUGAAAACACUCCGCCUUUAUUAGAACCACUGGGUGAUUUGCAUGCGUUGCCUCCAGUUCUCCAGUGAGUCAGGAGGGUUUAUGCUGGUUCCCAGGUGCAGAAAGGGAAAUCCACUUGCUCCACACCGGCUGUGAGAAAAUUUGGAAUCACAAGGUAGCACUGUCACCCUGAUCUCUUUUCUCCCCUGCACUCACCCGCCUGCCUGCCUGCGUACCACCUGGGCCCCCAGGAAGGGGACAGAGUCCUGCCUGUUCCUUCUGCUGUACCCCAGCACACAUGGCGGUGGCUGUUGAGUGGACGAGGUGCCCGUGCUAUGUCUGGAGUUGCCCGAGGCUUUGUUCCUGAGCCUCUGCACUUGGGGUGGGCUGAGGAGGAGGAGGAGGGCUGGGGUCCACGGUCAUGGGGGUGGGGGGGACAGAGCACAACAGGGAUUUGAGGCCAAGCACUGUCUCUUGUUCACUUUGCCCCUCUGCCUGUGACCAUCUGUCCUGUGAGGCCCUCACUCUGCCCAGAGGUUCUGAUGGGCUCCUGGAGAGGCUGGGGGAGCUGCCGCCUUGGCGGGCUCACACCAGAGCCGGACCACGUAACUGGGAUGCCGGUCAGCGAUUGGGUUGGACCGACCUUCGGUGUGAAUCUGUCUGGUGCUUCCCGCUGAUGAGAAGGAGCUGGUGCCGUUCGAACCAAGACUCCCCCCACCAUCCCCGCAGCCUCCUGCACUUUCCCACCUUGGCUGGGACACACAUUUCCACAUGGGAAGAGCAGGGAGGUCGGAGAAGCUACGGGGUCCCAAGAGUGACAUGGGAGCUCGUGCGGAUGUCUGCGGAUGCCGCCACGUCGGCCCGGGCCACGCCGGGGCCACGUCCACCUGCCUGCCAGUCCCACAGGAAUACUGCUCCCAGGAAAGCCUUCCUCGAACCCGAUGGGGUGGGACCCUGGGGAACGUUGGUCCCUGACUGACUGGGGUGGAGGGUGUUAGGCUCAGCCGUGGUUCGUCCUGCCAGGUUCCCCAGACGUGUGUAACGUGUUCCCUUCUGAGCAAAGGCGUGACAGAAUGGUAGUUACGCCUAAGCCAAUGCAGCUGCGUGGUGUCUGUCACUGGGUCUCUUCCAGCAGAGCCACAAGCCCUUUGACGUCUGUGACUUGGUUUCUCUCUGUCUCUUUUUUUCCCCUUUUUCAAACAGAGGUGCUGGGAGUCGAACCAAGUACCUCGUGCAUGCUUAGCCUGCGCUCUACCAACCACAGGCGUCUGUGGCUUGGAUGCUAAGAUGCAUGUGCCUUGUAUCUCGACCGGAUGGAGGUGGAGGCGGGCAAGGAGAG